GGGGGUGUAGCUCAGUGGUAGAGCGCAUGCUUUGCAUGCAUGAGGUCUCGGGUUCGAUCCCCGGCACCUCCA
rnacentral:tRNA from 2 species